AUUGCCUCUCGUCCUUCUGGCCAAGAUCAAGGGUAGUAUCUGUUCUUAUUAGUUUCAUGUCUGAUACGCCCCCUAUCUGGGAGCCAUAUAUUAUAUUAUAUUAAAUUUAGUACAGGGAGAUGGGUAAAGAGCUUGCUCUGUCCACUCCGCGCACUAACUGGGUACUGCAGUACUACAAUGACAUUCUCU